GUAUAUAAUUCAAUUUUAUUUUCUCUCCCCUUUUUUAUUAUUUUUAUUUUUAGCUGAAAAGACGUAAAGGCAGUCAGCCCAGUGGUGUUUCUGGAGAGGGAUUCCUUCAGAAAUGGAGAAGACAGAAAGCUGCGGAGGCAGAUAUUUGCAGCAGUCUAAAAUAUCGAGCUCAACAGCUAUUUUAAGAGCCAACCCUCACAAACCUUCCUAAAACCUAAAAGAGCUAUUACUGAGUCUCAGCGAAUCUUGCCAUGAUCAGCUCUUCCCAGAAGAGAAGGAAGACCAAGGAAAUGAUUUGCUCAGGAUGAGGAAUGAAGACGGCCAUCUUGAGCUCAAACAAACAGAAGUCCUCUGAUGAUCUCAUCAGCCAAAUGAGAGGUUUUGACCAAGUGAUGCUCUUGAAAGGAGUGAAAGAAGAGGAUGUGGUAAAUUGUCUUCAGAGAAAAAGCUUCUCAAAAGGUCUUAAAACAGCUCGAAGAAUGGUCUGGGAUGUUAGGACUGAGAGAUCCUCUGGCUGAGAACAAGCUACACCACAUCAGUGCUGGAUAUCAACCACAAACAGUUUCCAGACACGAGAGAAGAAGAACACGAUGGGGAGAUGAAACCAGUUUAGAUGUGAUGAUGGGAAUCAUUAUUUUCUGGAACAGUAUCACAUGUCUUAUAUGUAUCACAUGAUCUGUAUCACAGUUGACUGGAUGGGACUGUGUGACUUUUAAGGACAUUUCAUCACUCAUCUGUGUGAACUGAUUUAUAUAUGAGGUUAAUGUAUCUUUGAUGAUAAUUAUUUUCAUUGAAUCUUAUUUGUCUUGAUGCUACUUUAUCAACUUUAUAGUCUAUGCUUCAAUAAAAUGAAAAUGGUGAA